CGUGAGGUCGGAAGUUCAAGUCUUCCCAGGCCCACCACUUUCAUCGAGUGAGCAUUCGUCUUCUGGUUACGGGGCCAUAGCUCAGCUGGGAGAGCGCGUGCUUUGCAAGCAUGAGGUCGUCGGUUCGAUCCCGUCUGGCUCCACCAGAUGGUUUGAUCACCGAGAUCUUGACCGUCGUCCGCGAAACAUCACUUCGCAUCCUGCUAGUCUGGAUAGACAGCAGUUUGCGUGUUUUCUGACAUCGUAAAGAGGAGAUCGAUCCGAGUUGGGUCGUGCAGCAUAUCGUUGCGCGAGCCUUCAUUAUCUCCGGAUCAUUUCGGCGCUCGCUUCCAGCCGUGAGGUUGGAUGCGGGUUGUAAAUGAUCCUUUUAGCGAAGCUUGACCGCCUCGCUAUCGGAACGAUCUUACGAAGCAAGCUGGUCUUUCUAGUCAAUGUCCGGCUGCGGAUAGCGUUCAUCGAGGGCGCGUGCCGCAAGGCAAUUCUGCAGACAACAUUCUGCCGAGUGUGUGGACAUUGAUAAUGAGAGCAAUCAAGUGCCUUAAGGGUGUUCGGUGGAUGCCUUGGCGCUGAGAGGCGAUGAAGGACGUGCUACGCUGCGAUAAGCCCGUGGG
rnacentral:rRNA from 2 species